UGGUGGCUGGCAUUGUGCCCUUUUUAUAAUGUGUGUUUGUCCAACAUGUUGAGUGCGGUGGUCCCAAACAGAUGGACAAUUUCAUCAAACAGCACUCUUCUACCUGAUCUUAAUCAAUUAUUGGGCGCUUACCUUUUCAUGUAUGGACUACAGUUUUGUCCCUCCCUCCCUUCUCUAUCCUGUUGGAUGAGUGGCAUGUUGCCCUUAUCUUGUACUUUGCAUUUUGGAAUGCUUGAUAUGAAUCAAAUAAUUGGUACUUAACCCUUCAUAUAUGGGCUACAAUUAUUUGAUGGCCUGGUGUAAAAGCUAGGGAAGAGAAUUAAUGCAUUCAUCCCUUAGAAGUUUCCUGGUUUUAAUCAUUGUAUCUCUUUUCUGUUUUUCAGGAACAUGUAAAUGAAAUUGAUUUCAACUACAUGGAAUAUGCAAGGCAGAGGUUUGAACAAUAUUGGUUAAGGAAGCCUGAGCUCUUGGGUUCUUCUGGACCUGCUUCUGACGGUACCACCGGUGCUUACACUACUAUCUAGUUCCUAAUUUGCUUUCUGUUUCUUUUCACACUGUGCAAACUGGGAAUAUCAUUUUGAAGCAUAAUCAUGGAGCCCAUACACUGAUUAGUAAUUGCAAAAGAAUCAUUUUUAUUAUAUUUCGAGAAUAUUAUUUGUGUUUAAAUGUUGCUUCUAUUCAUCAAAUUGUCAUUCCUUAUCCUUUUAUCAUAUUGAUUUUUAAUCUAUGAACAUUUUUACCCCAAACUAAGUGCUGUCAUCCUUAAAAGUGAUGGACAUGUUUAAACCCCAAUUUUUGAAAAUUUUAGAACUAAUUAAAAACUCCCAUUCACAUCUUAAGAAGCUGGUACACACAAUGAAUGAGAAGCUGGUACACUUGAUUCACACAUCCAACCCUGAUUUGGUAAUAAUCAUCCCCUAUUAACAAGAUCCCCUGUAGGAUGUUUGUCCUUUCCGUUUCUCAAUUCAUUGAGCUUAAUUUGAUAACUUGCUCAAGUCAGUCUGACUUGAUUUUGAACUCCAUUACAUUGAAAUGUGAAACUGCAACAGCUAUGAAGCUUCUUUGCUCAAGCUCAAAAGCCACCACACAGAUCCCACACUAGAUCUAGAUCCCAAUCCGUUUUGAUUAUUGAACUGGUAGAUCUUGAUACUCCAUUGUCAAUGUUUCUCCACUAGUAGCAGCUGUCCUGGUUUUUACACCUAAUGUUCAUGAUUCCAUCUAGCCGACUGAGGAAAUGAACCCAGAUGUAAGGCUUGGGUUCAGCUUUACCAGCUUGAAGGAGUUUAAUCUAACCCACCCUGUAAACAUCAACGUAUCAUCAUCUAAACCAGGAAGGACUUGAAACUCAAUUCUUUGUAAUGCAAGUUUUAGCAAAUGGUCUUCUUCCCUUUCCCAGUUUAUUCUAAUGUGAGUUCUGGUUUGCAGGUGAUUUGUUCAAGAAUUCAGGGAAUUCAUGAGCUCAGCAAGGAAGCUAGCUGGUUGGAUGAUUAUAGCAAAUAAAGAGGUUCUUCACUUUGGUUCUUGGGCGUUCAAGUCAGGCUGACCUCUGGAAACUUUUCAAUCUCUGUAUUUACUUCUAAGCAGGACUUCAAUAACAUUUCAAUCAUUUUAUUUUUUCCCCACUACACAUGGUUACAAUAAAGACAUUUUGGCGAUAUUUGGUACUUGGGACGAAAAAUAAAAAUGAAUAUUUUGUUUUCAUUUUUAUUUCCGUUUUAAUAGGAAUGGAUUUGGUAAUAAUAAUUCAUUUACAUAUAAUUUAAAAUAAUUUUUUAUUUUUUCAAUUUGACCAAGCAUGUGUUGAAAGGGUUUUUCCUUUUUCUUUUUUUUUUUUCCUUUUUUGCUAAAUAAAAAUGGUAAAAAUAAUAAUAUUUACUCAAUAAAUAAAAAUUAACCAUAAAAGUCAUACAAACUUAAUGAAAAUGAGAUUUUAUUUAUUUUAUAAUUAUUUUUUAUUUUAUUUUUAUCAUCAUUUAUAUUUUAGUAAAUAAAGAAAUGUGAUAGAAUAUUUUAUAACUUCAAAACCUUAACUAUAAAAAUUCCAUUUCUCAAUUCAUAUUUUUAAAAUUUGGGGAUACACAAAUGACAAUUAACUUUUCUUAAAUUUGUUAGUUAAAAAAUAAUUUUACUUAUCAAUAACAAGUUUGAGUUCUCUAAUUAUUAUUUUAUUUAUUUAAUUUUUAUCCUCAUAUAUGAAAAAAAAAAAAAGUAUAUAAGGAAAAAAAUAUAUAAAACUAUAACUAAAUUACCUCAUGUGAAAAAAGGUCUCCCAUCAUAAUGACUUAAUUUCAAAUAAUAUCCUAAAUAAAUUAAAAUUAAAAUAAAAUAACAAUAAAAAAAUAUUUUUUAAAUAAUUUGAUUUGAUUUGAUUUGAUUUUUCUUAAGUUUUUAAUCACUAUUGAUUUGAAAUUUUGUAAAAUAUAUUUACUCAAAUCCGCAAAAUGAAGUUAAUCUUUAUUUAAAAAAGAAUACCUUAUACAUGAGUACAACAAAAUUUUGUAUAAAUAUUCUAUAUUUAUUUUUUAUAUUUUUAUUUGAUUCAUUAUUUUUGUUUGUACAAGGUAAUAAAAUUUGAUACGAUUUACUAACAUAAUUUGAACUUGACACAUUUUUUAUAGGUUUUAAAAAUAGAUUUUUACAUAAAUCUACAUAACCCUUUGACUUCAAUCCAUCUAUUUAUUAAUUAUAUUGAAUAACUUGAUUAUAACCCAUAAUCAAUUCAACCCAUAUUCCAUUUAUUUAAAAUUUGAUUUUAAAUAAAUAGAUUAAUUGAAUCAUAAUUAUGUCAAAUAAAAAAAUUACUAAUGUUAAAUAAAACCCAAAUAGACAAUGUACUUACCAUGUCAAUUUUGAGAAAAGAACAAUAUAUAUAUAUAUAGUUGACUGGAACUGCAAAUUGAAAAGGGUGUUGGACUUGAGAUGCGUAGAGAAUCAGACCAUUCCCAGAAACUGUGGUCAUCCCAAAACCAACUCAAGGGUCCAUUCAAAUUCCACCACAAAUCACCAAUCCAAAAUCAAAAUACACAAAAACCCAAAACCCCAAAAGCCAAAAUAAACAAAAAUAUCUUCUCCACCCUCCCUAACCCAGUCCUCUCCUUCUCUCCUUCUCACACACUCCAACCCAUAACCAAGCCUAAAAAAAAGAGUCCCACUA
rnacentral:lncRNA from 1 species